UACAGAGGGUGCAAGCGUUAAUCGGAAUUACUGGGCGUAAAGCGUGCGCAGACGGUCUCGUAAGUCGGGUGUGAAAUCCCCGGGCUCAACCUGGGAAUUGCAUUCGAAACUGCGAGGCUAGGGUACGGAAGAGGGAAGCGGAAUUUCUGGUGUAGCGGUGAAAUGCGUAGAUAUCAGAAGGAACAUCAGUGGCGAAGGCGGUUCUCUGGGCAUGGUCCUGACGCUGAGGAGCGAAAG
rnacentral:rRNA from 1 species